GAGAAGACGCAGCGAAAUGCGAUACGUAAUGUGAAUUGCAAAUUCAGUGAAUCAUCGAGUCUUUGAACGCACAUUGCGCCCCCUGGUAUUCCGGGGGGCAUGCCUGUCCGAGCGUCAUUGCUGCCCUCAAGCACGGCUUGUGUGUUGGGCCCCGUCCUCCGAUCCCGGGGGACGGGCCCGAAAGGCAGCGGCGGCACCGCGUCCGGUCCUCGAGCGUAUGGGGCUUUGUCACCCGCUCUGUAGGCCCGGCCGGCGCUUGCCGAUCAACCCAAAUUUUUAUCCAGGUUGACCUCGGAUCAGGUAGGGAUACCCGCUGAACUUAAGCAUAUCAAUAAGCGGAGGA
rnacentral:misc_RNA from 1 species